rnacentral:rRNA from 1 species
UGGGGAAUUUUGCACAAUGGGCGCAAGCCUGAUGCAGCAACGCCGCGUGAGUGAAGAAGGCCCUCUGGGUUGUAAAGCUCUUUCGGCUGGGAAGAAGGGUUCGUAUCCUAAUAUGGUACGAAUUUGACGGUACCAGAAUAAGAAGCACCGGCUAACUUCGUGCCAGCAGCCGCGGUAAUACGAAGGGUGCAAGCGUUGUUCGGAAUAACUGGGCGUAAAGGGCGCGUAGGCGGGUUGGUAAGUUAGAAGUGAAAUCCCCGGGCUUAACCCGGGAACUGCUUCUAAUACUGCCAGUCUUGAAUGUUCGAGAGGGUGGUGGAAUUCCCGGUGUAGAAGUGAAAUUCGUAGAUAUCGGGAGGAACAUCCGAGGCGAAGGCGGCCACCUGGCGAAACAUUGACGCUGAGGCGCGAAAGCGUGGGGAUCAAACAGG